AUUGAACGCUGGCGGCAGGCCUAACACAUGCAAGUCGAACGAGUGGCGGACGGGUGAGUAAUGUUUGGGAAUCUGGCUUAUGGAGGGGGAUAACUACGGGAAACUGUAGCUAAUACCGCGUACCAUAGGAUGAGCCCAAGUGGGAUUAGCUAGUUGGUGAGGUAACGGCUCACCAAGCCGACGAUCCCUAGCUGGUCUGAGAGGAUGACCAGCCACACUGGGACUGAGACACGGCCCAGACUCCUACGGGAGGCAGCAGUGGGGAAUAUUGCACAAUGGGCGCAAGCCUGAUGCAGCCAUGCCGCGUGAAUGAAGAAGGCCUUCGGGUUGUAAAGUACUUUCGGUAGCGAGGCGUUAACGACAGAAGAAGCACCGGCUAACUCCGUGCCAGCAGCCGCGGUAAUAC
rnacentral:rRNA from 1 species